rnacentral:rRNA from 1 species
UACGGAGGGGGCUAGCGUUGUUCGGAAUUACUGGGCGUAAAGCGCACGUAGGCGGCUUUGCAAGUUAGAGGUGAAAGCCCGGGGCUCAACUCCGGAAUUGCCUUUAAAACUGCAUCGCUAGAAUUGUGGAGAGGUAAGUGGAAUUCCGAGUGUAGAGGUGAAAUUCGUAGAUAUUCGGAAGAACACCAGUGGCGAAGGCGGCUACCUGGACAAUUGCUGACGCUCAGGCACGAAAGCG